AGAGUUUGAUCCUGGCUCAGAACGAACGCUGGCGGCGUGCUUAACACAUGCAAGUCGAACGAAGGUAUUUAUACCUUAGUGGCAAACGGGUGAGUAAUGCAUAGAUACCUAACCUUUGGAGGGGGCCAGAUGCGGGAAACUGCGAGUAAUACCCCAUAAGCUCAUCUAUUGUGAAUUCCAACACAUUCUUAAAUAGAAGGUGGUGGAAUUCACAAUAAUCAAGAUGAGGAAAGUUUUUUCGCCAUUGGAAGGGUCUAUGUCGGAUUAGAUAGUUGGUGGGGUAACAGCCUACCAAGUCAGCGAUCCGUAGCUGGUCUGAGAGGAUGGUCAGCCACACUGGGACUGAGACACGGCCCAGACUCUUAAGGGAGGCAGCAGUGGGGAAUACUAGGCAAUGGGGGGAACCCUGACCUGGCGACGCCGCGUGACAGAUGAAAGCAAUUAUGCUGUAAAAGUCUUUUACUCGUGAAGAUAAUGACGAUGUAACGAGAGAAUAAGCUCCGGCUAACUUCGUGCCAGCAGCCGCGGUAAUACGGGGGGAGCAAGUGUUGUUCGGAAUGAUUGGGCGUAAAGGGCGUGUAGGCGGUUUUGUGAGUGGAAUGUUAAAUACUUGGGCUCAACCCAAGAACCGCAUUUCAUACCACAUCACUAGGAUACGGAAGAGGAGAUGGGAAUUUCUGGUAGAGGGGUGAAAUCCAAUGACAUCAGAAGGAACACCAAAGGCGAAGGCAAAUCUCUGGGACGAUAUCGACGCUGAGGCGCGAAAGUGUGGGGAGCAAACAGGAUUAGAUACCCUGGUAGUCC
rnacentral:rRNA from 1 species